rnacentral:rRNA from 1 species
UACGGGGGGGGCAAGCGUUGUUCGGAAUUACUGGGCGUAAAGGGUUCGUAGGUGGCCAACUCAGUCAGACGUGAAAUCCCUCAGCUCAACUGGGGAACUGCGUCUGAUACUAGAUGGCUCGAGUGCAGGAGAGGAACGCGGAAUUCCAGGUGUAGCGGUGAAAUGCGUAGAUAUCUGGAGGAACACCGGUGGCGAAGGCGGCGUUCUGGACUGCAACUGACACUGAGGGACGAAAGCCAGGGGAGCAAACGGG